rnacentral:rRNA from 1 species
GAUUCUGGCUCAGAAUGAACGCUGGCGGCAUGGAUUAGGCAUGCAAGUCGAACGGCAGGGCAGCAAUGCCCGAGAGUGGCGAAAGGGUGAGCAACGCGUGGGGAACCUGCCCCGGGGACCGGAACAAGCCUGUGAAAACGGGUCUGAAACCGGAUGAGGCCCCGCACCGCAUGGUGCGGCGGCGAAAUAUUCAUAGCCCCGGGAGGGCCCCGCGUCCCAUUAGCUUGUUGGCGGGGUGACGGCCCACCAAGGCGACGACGGGUAGGUGGUCUGAGAGGAUGGUCACCCACACUGGGACUGAGACACUGCCCAGACUCCUACGGGAGGCUGCAGUCGAGAAUCUUCCGCAAUGGGCGCAAGCCUGACGGAGCGAUGCCGCGUGGGGGAAGAAGGCCUUCGGGUUGUAAACCCCUGUCGGACGGGACGAAAUCGAACGACGGUACCGUCCAAGGAAGCCACGGCUAACUACGUGCCAGCCGCCGC